UGGGGAAUUUUCCGCAAUGGGCGAAAGCCUGACGGGGCAAUGCCGCGUGGAGGUGGAAGGCCUACGGGUCGUCAACUUCUUUUCUCGGAGAAGAAACAAUGACGGUAUCUGAGGAAUAAGCAUCGGCUAACUCUGNGCCAG
rnacentral:rRNA from 1 species